rnacentral:lncRNA from 1 species
AGUUCCAACCCCCCCAACCACACAUAUACACCCCCUUUAGCUUCUUAGCGUAAACCUAAAGCGGAAAAGCACGUCGGCACCCCUCGCUCAGCUCCAGAGCUCAGCUCCACACGCCCGGACAGCCAGCCCCACCCACACACGCGCGGCCGGGAAGAGCAGGCAGGCAAGGAAGGCAUCCUCCCCUCCCCGCACCCCGGUGGCCCGCCGCGCUCACCGGAAAAAACCAGCAGUGUAACUGAAGUACAUAACCAUGAAUUAAGAGACAUGACAUCUCUUUCCAGACUAACCCCAUGUUGACAGAGCAUCUAGCAGCGAAGGGUAACUGAGAAUGCUACAGAGUACAACACUCUUGCCAUCCUGAGUCUAGAAGCAGUUGAGCCAUGAUGUUCGCAUAAGGCUGUGUGUGGGAGAAGGAGUUCUGCCUUCUGCAUUCAAUUCUUCUGCACUCCCAGGUCAAGGAGCCAUGGAGGCUGAACUGUAUGAAAGUAGUCUGCACCUGCUUGCACGGAAAUACCUACAGUCAGAAACAUUUUUGCAAACAAAUAUAAUGAUUUUAACUGCUUGGCUCCCUGUCUGAAGCCCUAAUUAAAUAAAAGUGCAGCUUCAUAGACAAUUCAAUCAUUUAAGGUGGCACUGACAGUGGAAAUGAGUCUCGCACUCUUCUCUCAAGUCCUCCACUGAGCCAGCAAUGGAGAAACUGCACACCGAGACCAGAUUGGUAAGCUGAGCUGUAUGAAAACUGCUUUGCUUGCAUGACUGGGAGGAAACAGUCAAAGUUCUUUUAAGAUAUUUGUAGUUGGAUCAGUACACAAGUAUGUCUUAAAUUCUGCUUCGUAUGGCAAUGGCAGAAGAAGAAAAUACAAAACUUAUCACUACUUGGAGAGGUAAGAUCUCACCCAAAGUGGCAAAGAAUGCACUGGCAAUACUCCCAGUAUACACAAUGUUAGCUUUUGACUGCACCAGUUGCUAUUGCCCUUCCCUAAAAAUAAUCCAAGUCCUGA